rnacentral:rRNA from 1 species
UUUAUGGAGAGUUUGAUCCUGGCUCAGGAUGAACGCUGGCGGCGUGCCUAAUACAUGCAAGUCGAGCGAACGGACGAGAAGCUUGCUUCUCUGAUGUUAGCGGCGGACGGGUGAGUAACACGUGGAUAACCUACCUAUAAGACUGGGAUAACUUCGGGAAACCGGAGCUAAUACCGGAUAAUAUUUUGAACCGCAUGGUUCAAAAGUGAAAGACGGUCUUGCUGUCACUUAUAGAUGGAUCCGCGCUGCAUUAGCUAGUUGGUAAGGUAACGGCUUACCAAGGCAACGAUGCAUAGCCGACCUGAGAGGGUGAUCGGCCACACUGGAACUGAGACACGGUCCAGACUCCUACGGGAGGCAGCAGUAGGGAAUCUUCCGCAAUGGGCGAAAGCCUGACGGAGCAACGCCGCGUGAGUGAUGAAGGUCUUCGGAUCGUAAAACUCUGUUAUUAGGGAAGAACAUAUGUGUAAGUAACUGUGCACAUCUUGACGGUACCUAAUCAGAAAGCCACGGCUAACUACGUGCCAGCAGCCGCGGUAAUACGUAGGUGGCAAGCGUUAUCCGGAAUUAUUGGGCGUAAAGCGCGCGUAGGCGGUUUUUUAAGUCUGAUGUGAAAGCCCACGGCUCAACCGUGGAGGGUCAUUGGAAACUGGAAAACUUGAGUGCAGAAGAGGAAAGUGGAAUUCCAUGUGUAGCGGUGAAAUGCGCAGAGAUAUGGAGGAACACCAGUGGCGAAGGCGACUUUCUGGUCUGUAACUGACGCUGAUGUGCGAAAGCGUGGGGAUCAAACAGGAUUAGAUACCCUGGUAGUCCACGCCGUAAACGAUGAGUGCUAAGUGUUAGGGGGUUUCCGCCCCUUAGUGCUGCAGCUAACGCAUUAAGCACUCCGCCUGGGGAGUACGACCGCAAGGUUGAAACUCAAAGGAAUUGACGGGGACCCGCACAAGCGGUGGAGCAUGUGGUUUAAUUCGAAGCAACGCGAAGAACCUUACCAAAUCUUGACAUCCUUUGA